rnacentral:rRNA from 1 species
CGCUGGCGGCGUGCUAACACAUGCAAGUCGAGCGGGGACGAUGCGACGGAGUCGAAGUUUCGGAUGGAGACGAAGAUGUAUGUUCUAGCGGCGGACGGGUGAGUAACGCGUGAGCAACCUGUCCCUUACAGGGGAUAACACAGCGAAAGUUGUACUAAUACCGCAUAAGACCACGGUAGGACAUCCUACAGGGGUCAAAGGAGCAAUCCGGUAAGGGGUGGGCGUCGCGUCCGAUUAGAUAGUUGGUGAGGUAACGGCCCACCAAGUCGACGAUCGGUAGCCGACCUGAGAGGGUGAUCGGCCACAUUGGGACUGAGACACGGCCCAAACUCCUACGGGAGGCAGCAGUGGGGAAUAUUGGGCAAUGGGGGGAAAAACCCCGUGACCCAGCAACGCCGCGUGAGGGAAGAAGGUUUUCGGAUCGUAAACCUCUGUCCUUGGUGAAGAGUAAGAGACGGUAGCCAAGGAGGAAGCCCCGGCUAACUACGUGCCAGCCGCAGC